rnacentral:rRNA from 1 species
GGUGUAGGCGGUUUGUUAAGUCAGAUGUGAAAGCCCACGGCUCAACCGUGGAAGUGCACCUGAAACUGGCAGACUUGAGUACCGGAGAGGGAAGUGGAAUUCCUGGUGUAGGGGUGAAAUCCGUAGAUAUCAGGAGGAACACCGGUGGCGAAGGCGACUUCCUGGACGGAUACUGACGCUGAGAUCCGAAAGCGUGGGGAGCAAACA